rnacentral:misc_RNA from 1 species
CGUAACAAGGUUUCCGUAGGUGAACCUGCGGAAGGAUCAUUAUCAAAUACAGCGGGCUUCGGCCCUGUCUGCACCCUUGUCUUUUGCGUACUAUUCGUUUCCUUGGUGGGCUUGCCUGCCAAAAGGACACUAUAAAACCACUUGUAAUAGCAAUCAGCGUCAGAUAACUAUAAUAGUUACAACUUUCAACAACGGAUCUCUUGGUUCUGGCAUCGAUGAAGAACGCAGCGAAAUGCGAAAAGUAGUGUGAAUUGCAGAAUUCAGUGAAUCAUCGAAUCUUUGAACGCACAUUGCGCCCCUUGGUAUUCCAUGGGGCAUGCCUGUUCGAGCGUCAUUUGUACUCUCAAGCUUUGCUUGGUGUUGGGUGUUUGUCCCGCUGCAUGCGUGGACUCGCCUCAAAACAAUUGGCAGCCGGCAUAUUGGUCCUGGAGCGCAGCACAUUUUGCACUUCCAGUCCUGCAUGUUGGCACCCACAAGCCUAUUUUACACGCUUGACCUCGGAUCAGGUAGGGAUACCCGCUGAACUUAAGCAUAUCAAUAA